UCUGAAUUUCCAUGCUUCUGUUUUUAUUACUAUAAACACUUUUAAAAAUCAAUACGCUGAUAAAACUGCAACUAGAACAAAGCAGAAUAGAGCUUGCCCAAUUCCCACUCCUCCCUCCCUCAAGUUACCAAGAUUGUUGAGGUUAUAAACACAAAAGCUGGCUCAUUUUCCAGACUCUGCAUCAAAAUUGGUUUACACCAGUUAAUCCAGUUUCUCCAUGUAACCCUCCAGGAGUCCCAAAACAUCAUUAAUGCUGGAAAGUGAUUUAGCCUUGCUUGCUUUCAAUUUACCUAGUAUAAGGUUAAAAAUAAAUUCUUUAAACAAGUCAGGUCAAACCACCACAGAGAGAUUGGGCCCAGCUAUAAAUACUGAGUCAGCCAGGUAGGAAUCCAAACCCAGAUUCCACUAGAGAACGUGAUAUAACCAAGGGAAUUGCUAAAAGGGUCUGGUAAAUAUGAAAAAAGCAAAGCCUCAGAAGGCUGAGUUGUUGCUGUUUGUUGUAAAGGGCUCCGUUUCAAUGGCAAGCACUCCUCCUCUGGGCCUGCACAUCCUCCCCCCUCCCUUCCCUUCACACACAUCCAGCUCCAAUUUCUCUUCUUGAAAAAAACAGCUGCUCCUACACCAGGACAGCCCCUCUGCUUCACCAGCCGCCACAGGCCCAGAUGCUAUCACCUUGAUCUACUGCUGUAUUAUAAGCAUUCAGCAUUUACUCAAUCUGAGGUGACUAGGGACCAAUUGCUGCUUGGUAGCAAGGGAUGAAGCGAGCUGGCCCUCGUGAGCUUCCCCUUACAUAGCUCUACUCCAAACCCAAAGUUUCUGCUCCAGAAGACUGCAUGUCCUUUUGAACAUAACCAAGAGGGCUCUGCACGUCCAUGCUCUGACGUUAACACACCUACAAGAGAAGCUUCAAACCAGGUUCACAUGGAGCAGCUCCCAGGUGGCAUUCAACAGCACUGCAGACAUUUCAGCACAUAUUUUUAAAUGUUUCACAUCACAGACUUCAGAGCCUUGCCAUCAGGCUCAAAGGUGAACGAGGUCCCUUUCUAUAUCCAGUUUCUUGCAGAAGGGUUUCUACCAGUUCACUUUCCUGCUGCAAUUUUCUUCAGCAACAACAGCAAUCGCAGAAGAGCUUUUUUUGUUUGUUUGCUUUUAAAUGCAACAUAAGCCAAGCCAAUAGCAAAGCCCGGCCCUGACUUCCAAUUCUGAACAGCCACGAGUAAUCGGGGGUGAGGAAGGACUAGGUAGAGAAGGUUAACAGAAAGAACGGUUCAUUCAUUGCCAUGUCCUCAAGUAACCUACUGUUGCUACCAAGAUGUUAUUGUCAGUGAAUUCUGUAGCUGUGACCGUGACACGGCUGCCCUACCCCACCCCCUACCAGCGAGGGAGCACCCAGGAAGGAGAUACGUUAAGACAACAUGGAAGUAAAACCCUACACAACGCACAAACCAAUAGUUAUUCACCCACUUGUUCCCUUCCUGUGCUGCCAGCCCUCCUUUGGCCUGACUCAAGACUAGGAAGGGGCCCAAAGGCACGCCCCUCUCCACCAGCCCCACUCCUUCUCUACAUGGUCUAGCUGCAACCCCCCCCUUUCCUCACACCCCCAGCCCAAAGCGCCAGAGGCACGAGCUCGCUCGGAGAGAAACAGCGGGCUGCGAGGUGAGAAACAAGGGGGAUGAGGUGCAGCGACCCGCUCCCCCACGCAGAAGAGGGCGGAAAGUUGCUGAGACCAACACCUGAGCAGUCUGGAAAUGGGAACCAAUUCUGCACUUAACGUUCAUUUAUUUUAAAUGUUAACUGGACACAGCCUCCAUUGACAUGAAAGAAUCCCAGAACUAAGGAUAGCUGCACCACGGGAGGAAAAGGGCAAGGAGAGUGUGCUAGGGACUAAUGGAGAACAGCAAGGGGUUGGCACAGCAGAGGUAUGUCAGAGCACUCAGUGCAGCUUCUGGCAACUUCAACUGAACUGUGACAGGACAGAUGGCAAGACAGGAAGGUUGCUUGACUCCCCAAGAGAGGAGUUUCAGGUUGUAAGCCAGGAAAAAAAAAUAACUUUUUCCCUUUA